CAAUAGCGUAUAUUAACGUUGUUGCAGUUAAAAAGCUCGUAGUUGGAUUUCUGGAGGGAGCGUCGGCCCGUAUUUACGAGUGCGUGACGUCUCUGUCCAUCCUUGCGGGAAGGCACGGCAUUGAUUUGUUGUGUCGGAUCGCAUCAUUUACUGUGAAAAAAUUAGAGUGUUCAAAGCAGGCUUUCGCUUGAAUACAUUAGCAUAGAAUAAUAAGAUAGGACUUUGGUGCUAUUUUGUUGGUCGAGCCUAAAGUAAUGAUUAAUAGGGAUAGUUGGGGGCACCUGUAUUGCGUUGUCAGAGGUGAAAUUCUUGGAUUUACGCAAGACAAACAGCUGCGAAAGCGUCUGCCAAGGAUGUUUUCAUUAA
rnacentral:rRNA from 1 species